GGUGAGAUGGCCGAGCGGUCUAAGGCGCCAGACUAAGGUUAUUCAAUCUGGUCCUCCGGGGCGUGGGUUCGAAUCCCACUCUCAUCA